rnacentral:lncRNA from 1 species
GAAGGCGGCUCGAGUCAACCGGGACACAAAUAAGACAAGGCAAAGUCGAACCGUAUGAAAGAGUCGUAAAUAGUCCUUUGGAGCAAAUCUUGGACCGGAGGAACGAACACACAUCGCGCCGUUUAAUUGCUUCCGCUCGUCAAGUUCUAAAGGGUGAUAGUGUCUUUUGAUUAAUGGAUUUUUUUUUAUUAUGAUGUAAUGGUUACAAUUUUUAUGUCUUUUGGAACGUGUCGUAGAAUUUAGUUGGAAUGAUGAUUGUUAAAAGCAGGGAAUCACUUAUAGUACGAACGGGUCAUACCCAUUUUUUGU